rnacentral:rRNA from 1 species
AUGGCUCAGAUUGAACGCUGGCGGCAGGCCUAACACAUGCAAGUCGAGCGGAAACGACACUAACAAUCCUUCGGGUGCGUUAAUGGGCGUCGAGCGGCGGACGGGUGAGUAAUGCCUAGGAAAUUGCCUUGAUGUGGGGGAUAACCAUUGGAAACGAUGGCUAAUACCGCAUAAUGCCUACGGGCCAAAGAGGGGGACCUUCGGGCCUCUCGCGUCAAGAUAUGCCUAGGUGGGAUUAGCUAGUUGGUGAGGUAAUGGCUCACCAAGGCGACGAUCCCUAGCUGGUCUGAGAGGAUGAUCAGCCACACUGGAACUGAGACACGGUCCAGACUCCUACGGGAGGCAGCAGUGGGGAAUAUUGCACAAUGGGCGAAAGCCUGAUGCAGCCAUGCCGCGUGUAUGAAGAAGGCCUUCGGGUUGUAAAGUACUUUCAGUUGUGAGGAAGGGGGUAGCGUUAAUAGCGCUAUCUCUUGACGUUAGCAACAGAAGAAGCACCGGCUAACUCCGUGCCAGCAGCCGCGGUAAUAC